UUUCGUCAUUGUCCCUAGGGAUCUAACUGGAGGGAUGUCUUUAAACAUCCCAGGUCGAUCACAGCAGGGCACCAGAAAGCAGUGUAGAAUAGUUGGGUUUUGAUGCUUCGAUCAUGAAUAAGGUUUUGCUAUCAUUCUCAAAGCGCUGAUGACCC